AUUGAACGCUGGCGGCAGGCCUAACACAUGCAAGUCGAACGGUAACAGGAAGCAGCUUGCUGCUUCGCUGACGAGUGGCGGACGGGUGAGUAAUGUCUGGGAAGCUGCCUGAUGGAGGGGGAUAACUACUGGAAACGGUAGCUAAUACCGCAUAAUGUCGCAAGACCAAAGAGGGGGACCUUCGGGCCUCUUGCCAUCGGAUGUGCCCAGAUGGGAUUAGCUUGUUGGUGGGGUAACGGCUCACCAAGGCGACGAUCCCUAGCUGGUCUGAGAGGAUGACCUGCCACACUGGAACUGAGACACGGUCCAGACUCCUACGGGAGGCAGCAGUGGGGAAUAUUGCACAAUGGGCGCAAGCCUGAUGCAGCCAUGCCGCGUGUAUGAAGAAGGCCUUCGGGUUGUAAAGUACUUUCAGCGGGGAGGAAGGGAGUAAAGUUAAUACCUUGGCUCAUUGACGUUACCCGCAGAAGAAGCACCGGCUAACUCCGUG
rnacentral:rRNA from 1 species